GACGAACGCUGGCGGCGUGCCUAAUACAUGCAAGUUGAGCGAUGAAGCUUGGUGCUUGCACCAAUUUGAAGAGCAGCGAACGGGUGAGUAACGCGUGGGGAAUCUGCCUUUGAGCGGGGGACAACAUUUGGAAACGAAUGCUAAUACCGCAUAACAACUUUAAACAUAAGUUUUAAGUUUGAAGGAUGCAAUUGCAUCACUCAAAGAUGAUCCCGCGUUGUAUUAGCUAGUUGGUGAGGUAAAGGCUCACCAAGGCGAUGAUACAUAGCCGACCUGAGAGGGUGAUCGGCCACAUUGGGACUGAGACACGGCCCAAACUCCUACGGGAGGCAGCAGUAGGGAAUCUUCGGCAAUAGACGAAAGUCUGACCGAGCAACGCCGCGUGAGUGAAGAAGGUUUUCGGAUCGUAAAACUCUGUUGGUAGAGAAGAACGUUGGUGAGAGUGGAAAGCUCAUCAAGUGACGGUAACUACCCAGAAAGGGACGGCUAACUACGUG
rnacentral:rRNA from 1 species